rnacentral:snRNA from 1 species
GUGCUUGCUUCAGCAGCACAAGUACUAAAAUUGGAACAACACAGAGAAGAUUAGCAUGGCCCCUGUGCAAGGAUGACAUGCAAAUUUGUGGAGUGUUCCAUAUUUUU